UAUAAUGAAUCAAUUCACAUUAAUUUUUAAAUUCAGCAAUGCAGAUGUUUCUGGGAUUUAAUCAUCCCCUUUCUCUCCAAGGGAAGAAGCAAUGCUGUCCACGUACUUUGAAACCAUCAAUCGAGUGGUCUGAUUCUUAAAAGUUCCUGUUUCUUAAAAGUUCCACCUCAUCAACACUACCACACUGAGGACCAAGCCUUCAGCACAACAACCUUUGGGGGGACAAACGAUAUUCAAACCACCAUCCACUGUCAAUCCACCACCCAUCAUCCACCCAUCCAUCCAUCCAUCCACCAUCCAUCCAUCCAUCCAUCCAUCCCUUUGUUAAUUCUCCCAUUCACUUAAGAGUUAUAUUUGAGGGCCUACUAUAUCCUAAGACCUGUGUUUAUUGCUGUGGAUACAGUAGUGAGCAAAAAUGGGCACAGUCCCUGCCCGCAUGGAGGUUUAGUCCACUGAAUGAAGGACACUGAGUGCUGUGAAUUUUUUAAAAUUUGUGAUAAGUUGAUCAAAUCUGGUUAUGAAAAGACACAUCUGGAGGUCAUGUGAAGAGCGAACUUGAGAAAGGAUAAAACAGGGGUGAGCUCUUAUUUUGGAGGCUGGGGCAGUGGUCUCAGAAUGGGAUAGUAAGGAGUUCAGCUAGGGCAACGUAACUGAGCACACAAGCCUCUGGCCACUGAAGGCUGCUUCACUAACUCACUUCGGAAGUAUAUCAGAAGAAGCAUGGUACAGCAGCAGUUAAGAGCAAGUGCUUCGAUGCUGCAUCUGGGCCUGCCACUGGCUACCUGGGUAAUGUUGGAAAUGUUAUUUCAUCUCUGUAUCUGGAUAGCCUCAACUCUAUGAGUACUGGUGGGAUAGUGUCCCCCAAAUUCACAUUUACCCGGUACCCAUGAAUGUCCCCUUCUUUGGAAGUAGAGUCUUUCCAGAUGUGAUUCGUGAAAGUGAGGUCACACUGAUUACCAUGACUUCCACUUCAUCCAAUGUUUGGUGCCCUUGUACAAAAACAGAGACACAAAGGACACCAUGUGACAUUGGAGAAAGAGACUGCAGUGAUGCUGUCGAAGCCAAGAGGUCUUAAGGAUUGCCGCCAGCCGUUAGAAGCUGAAGAGUUCUAGAGGCAACAAGUCCAAGAUCAAGAUAUCAGCAGGUUGAACUUCUCGUGAAGGCCUCCCUCCUUGGCUGGAUGAUGACGGUCUCCUUGCUGUGUCUUCCCAUGGCCUUCCACCUUGUGCAGCCCUGGUGUCUUCUAUAAACCUCGAACUUAAUGUACUACAAGAUCACCUGAGGCACUUGUUAAUGAUAAGCAUUCCUUUUUCCUUGGAGAAUCUAAUUCAAUAAAUCUGGAAGCAUCUUGGAGCGGAUCUCAUGCCUGUGACCUUCAGACAACGCCCUGGAAAACACUUUCAAGAUGUCCAUCAAGAGGGCCCUCUUGGAGUGGAACUGUAACGCAGCAGCUGCCGUUUCUGCCUUGAACGUGGGUACUGAGCUGACCCAUCCAUAGGUCUCGUUUGACAUUUCCUCACUGCAUCACCUGGUUACAGGAACUCUCAGGCAGAUGUAGGGCGUCAGUGUGGAGAGCAGAUGGACAGAGGCAGGGAAGAAGCAGAGGCUUGAAACUUAGGAGUGAAGGACAGAGCAACAUAAAAUGACUUCUGGGCAUCGAUGUGAAUGGGAUGAAGAGAGCGAGUGACACUCACUGAGUUUCAGCCUCUGUGGGAACAACUCAUGCAGAUUUCCUCUGGAACCCAGGACACAGGUACUUCCUAUACUUCACUUGUUUUAGGACCUAACUGACUUGGUUUGAAUGUGUUCUCCAGAAAGCCCGCCUUGGGAACUCCGUCUCCACUGCACCAGCAUUAGGAGGUGGAGGCAGGAGGGAGGGAGAAUGGAUUGAGGCUGCUGUGGGCAGUGAGUUCUCCUCAUGGGAGUGGAGUCCUUACGAAGGCGGAGUUGGGCCCCAUUUACUCCUCCUUCCCUUCCCGCUUUCCUUCCUCUCUUCUCUCCCCUCCUCUCUCCUUCCCUCCCUCCCUCUCUCUCUUUCACUCUGUUUCUCCAUCUCUCUCUCUCUUUCCCUUCUGCCCUCUGUCAUCAACAACCCAGAAAGAGGACCUUCAUCAGAUGCGGGGCCCUUGAUCUUAGAUGUCCCAGCCUCGGGGACCAAACAAUACAUUUCUGUUCAUCCUAAAUUACCCAGACUCGGGCAUUCUGUUAUAGCAGUACAGAAUAGAUUAAAACGGCCUUGGAUUGCUCCAUAUAAUUACUUUUAUCUGGACUAAAGAAAAUUCAAUUUAGCUUUGAAUAAGUAUCAGUCUUACAGGUAAUGUUCUGUAGUUGUUACAGAACUGGUUCUUCCCAUUUAUUUAUGGCUGAAUAAUCAAAUCAGUAUCUGGCACAGAGUAGGCAGGCAGUGAUCAUCUGAUGAAAUGAACUAAACCAUUUUUAAAUUAAACCCUUAAGUAACUGUUUGCUAGAUGACUCACACAUAGGUCGUUAGAAAGCAGAACAUGACAGCAACCAGGGCCGUACUUGGUUCAUAUCCAUCUUCACCUUCUGCCAUGUUUCCUUGGUUAGAAUAAACUCUGGAAAUUUGAUGUGGAAUCUCAAUAAUGGGACAAUCAGUUGGAGUGCUUGGAAACCAUUUGGAUAAUUCAUCUUUAAGGAGGAUAUAGUCAGGAUGGGCAAAGGGAAAUGGACUUUGGCUCCAGUAUUUCCUAAUAAUUCUCUUUUACUCAACAGCACUGCAUUAGAAGAACCAUGGACUGUUAGGACUGGAAGAGGCCUUAGCGACCACAAAAUCCAAAUGCUUUGUUUUACGGAUGAGAACAGUGAGGCCUACUAAGGUUAAACAGGGUUACCCUAUGCUUUACGACUAAUCAGCAAUAGAGUGGGACACAGACGUCAAUGCUCGGUCCUCUAAACCAGGUCAAACCAAGCAUCAUUUGAGUAACUAAUAUAUUUUUAGACAAUUUGCUAAUUUCUACUGCUGCAAAAAUGAAUCCCCUAGACUUUAGUUUUCUGUCUGCCAGGAGUCAGACACAAAGUCAGAUUUUAACACCAUGAAUUAAGUGGCAUGAUAUAAAUAUAAUACAAUCAUCAUUAUUCACCACCAAUUGAGAAUUUAGAGAACCUUCUGUGAAUCACUUUAUAUAGCUUAAUAAUUUAAUCUUCUUGUGAACUGCUUUAUCUGUUAUUUCCUUUCCAACUCCAAGCUGUGGGAAAUACUGAAAAUACACAUUGGGAAGAUAUCUUCAAAUCAGAGUCCGAGUCCAGGUUGUUUCUCUUUUCCCUGGGUCUGAAGGUAUCAAACCCCCCUGCCCUGACUUGGGCAGUCACUAGACAGCACUACACUAAUUGUGCUUGGGAUAUAAGGGCCACGUGAAAAGUUCCAGGAUCCUUUUAUGGACCAGGGCUAGUGGAAACCUCUAUGAUUACCCUAGCGUAUGGAACGGAAGCUCGCCAAGUUUAUGAUUUCUUUGGAGAUUAUAUAGGAGUGUUAAAAGACCGUAAGGUCACAUUUAGAGCUGGUGAAAGGCUUUUUAAGGUUUACGAGGCACACAACAGAGUAUUAGUUGGCCUUUCUGACAGCUCAGCCAUGAACACGGCUUUUACUGCUUCAUAGGGACCGAUGGUUGAAAAUCUAUGACAACAUCAAUUUACAUGUUGACAGUUCACUAAAUACAUAAUAACCAUGUUCUAAAAUGUUUUACAGGAAGGCUGGGAAGUUGGCUGCUAAAAUCAAGGCACUUUCACGAAAACAGAAUCAAAAAGCCAAGAUUUACUCUGAGAGUUAUCACUGAUCCACACGGGGACACACACAUUCCCAGGACCCCUGUAUGUGCCAGUGAGCUCUGUUGCCCGAACCAAGAGCAGCUCAAGAGCUUGUGGCAGAAGUUUGCUUGUUUUUAGCACUUACCUCCCUAAACCUUUUGCCACCCACAAAACUAGUGUAUUAUGCAACUAGAGAAUCAAAGCUGAACUUGUAUUCUCAGCUCCCGUCUCUAUGCGAUCAUUUGUUAUUUGCCAAACACCAUUCUAGUUUCUGGGAAAAUAGCAAAGAGAAAUAGAGUCCCUGGCUUCAGAGAGCUUACAUUCUAAUUGUAAAGACCAGUGGGUGUAGAAAGCAGAAGUAAACUGGCUGUGGUACUAAGUGAAGAGCGCGACAAUAGAGUAGAGACGUUUGUGUAUAUGUGUCUGAGGCCGCUGGGCAGCGCUGGCUUAGCUAAGACAAUGGGGAAGACCUUUCAAUGGUAGACCCUUCUCAAUCCUAAGGAAGAGAAAACCAUGUCUUUGCAGAGAUCUGGGAGCAGGUAGUUCAAGCACAGGAAAAACAAUUGCAAAGGCCCUGAGCUAGGAAGCUCAAAGACAUUCUUGCAUUUAAUUUUAAUUGUAAGAUGCAUUUAAUGUUAUGGUGCUGGAUUCUUUCUCAACAAUAAAUAUUUUGAAGGCCUAAGGAUUAUUUUGAUAUAAAUGUGAUAUCCUGAAAGAACACACACAUAAGCCCGAGGAAAGCCAGAGUAGCUGGGAUGUAGGAACGGGAACAGGGGGAGGACAGAGUGGAGUGA